UACGAAGGGGGGCUAGCGUUGCUCGGAAUUACUGGGCGUAAAGGGAGCGUAGGCGGGUUAUCAAGUUGGAGGUGAAAGCCCAGGGCUCAACCUUGGAAUUGCCUUCAAAACUGAUAACCUAGAGGAUGAUAGAGGUAAGUGGAACUCCGAGUGUAGAGGUGAAAUUCGUAGAUAUUCGGAAGAACACCAGUGGCGAAGGCGACUUACUGGAUCAUUACUGACGCUGAGGCUCGAAAGCGUGGGGAGCAAACAGG
rnacentral:rRNA from 1 species